rnacentral:rRNA from 1 species
GACGAGGAGCUUGCUCCUCUGACGUUAGCGGCGGACGGGUGAGUAACACGUGGAUAACCUACCUAUAAGACUGGGAUAACUUCGGGAAACCGGAGCUAAUACCGGAUAAUAUAUUGAACCGCAUGGUUCAAUAGUGAAAGACGGUUUUGCUGUCACUUAUAGAUGGAUCCGCGCCGCAUUAGCUAGUUGGUAAGGUAACGGCUUACCAAGGCAACGAUGCGUAGCCGACCUGAGAGGGUGAUCGGCCACACUGGAACUGAGACACGGUCCAGACUCCUACGGGAGGCAGCAGUAGGGAAUCUUCCGCAAUGGGCGAAAGCCUGACGGAGCAACGCCGCGUGAGUGAUGAAGGUCUUCGGAUCGUAAAACUCUGUUAUUAGGGAAGAACAAAUGUGUAAGUAACUAUGCACGUCUUGACGGUACCUAAUCAGAAAGCCACGGCUAACUACGUGCCAGCAGCCGCGGUAAUACGUAGGUGGCAAGCGUUAUCCGGAAUUAUUGGGCGUAAAGCGCGCGUAGGCGGUUUUUUAAGUCUGAUGUGAAAGCCCACGGCUCAACCGUGGAGGGUCAUUGGAAACUGGAAAACUUGAGUGCAGAAGAGGAAAGUGGAAUUCCAUGUGUAGCGGUGAAAUGCGCAGAGAUAUGGAGGAACACCAGUGGCGAAGGCGACUUUCUGGUCUGUAACUGACGCUGAUGUGCGAAAGCGCGGGGAUCAAACNGGAUUAGAUACCCUGGUUAGUCCAUGCCGGUUACCGAUGAGCGCUAGUAGUUC